rnacentral:rRNA from 1 species
AGCGAACGCUGGCGGCAGGCCUAACACAUGCAAGUCGAACGAACCUUUCGGGGUUAGUGGCGGACGGGUGAGUAACACGUGGGAACGUGCCUUUAGGUUCGGAAUAACUCAGGGAAACUUGUGCUAAUACCGAAUGUGCCCUUCGGGGGAAAGAUUAAUCGCCUUUAGAGCGGCCCGCGUCUGAUUAGCUAGUUGGUUGAGGUAAUGGCUCACCAAGGCGACGAUCAGUAGCUGGUCUGAGAGGAUGAUCAGCCACAUUGGGACUGAGACACGGCCCAAACUCCUACGGGAGGCAGCAGUGGGGAAUCUUGCGCAAAGGGCGAAAGCCUGACGCAGCCAUGCCGCGUGAAUGAUGAAGGUCUUAGGAUUGUAAAAUUCUUUCACCGGGGACGAUAAUGACGGUACCCGGAGAAGAAGCCCCGGCUAACUUCGUG